AGUCAAAUAACUUAUCCAAUCAGUACUAAUUAUGUUGUGGAUUUGUCUUCCUUGGUCGUCUCGCUCGCUUUGUUUGAUGGAGAUAAGAUGUUAUUUGCAUGCUCGGGCAUACCUAUACCUCACGGAAGAACUAGACAAAGCCAAACAAGAUUUGUGACAUCAGCACAUUUGGUUAGACAAUUCAACGAGAAUAGAAAUAAAGAUGAUAAGUUGAGGGUUGCAGUGCGCCUUCCUAAUAAUACAACUACCGAUGGGUUCUUAGCACUAUAUGAUAAAG